CGAAGAUUCGCAGUCGUUAUUAAUUUUCGUCGUACCAGACCACGCGUACCAAUUGGUAUUUCCAUAAAUGGUCUCUUUGGUGGUACCAUUAUUAUUAUUAUUCCUCGAGGUGCAAAUGCCGUUGCUAUCGUUUAGAUAAAAGUUGAUGGUGUACGUUGGCAAGGUCCUUGCUUUCUUCGGAAGCUUGCUCUUCCUCGACGAACGUUCUUCUUCGAAUUCGACCAAGACUGCCCUUGGUGAUGCUCCAGGUUCUUCGUAACAUCUUUAUUCUUCUACCCAAAGUUUCCGUCAGACUAGAUUCUCUCGGAGGCGGUGGUAUCGGUUUCGCGGGAGCCUCCAGAUUUUAGAUUAGAAGAAGUUAAUGUGGCAGAAUAAUGGGCACCAGUGGACCCAGUAUAGAACGUUGAAUUCGUCCAUCGAAAGUACAUCGUGUAUGUCGCGUAGAAGAAAAUACGUAGGGGAAACCUUCGUGAACGUAACA